GACGAACGCUGGCGGCGUGCCUAAUACAUGCAAGUUGAGCGAUGAAGAUUGGUGCUUGCACCAAUUUGAAGAGCAGCGAACGGGUGAGUAACGCGUGGGGAAUCUGCCUUUGAGCGGGGGACAACAUUUGGAAACGAAUGCUAAUACCGCAUAACAACUUUAAACAUAAGUUUUAAGUUUGAAAGAUGCAAUUGCAUCACUCAAAGAUGAUCCCGCGUUGUAUUAGCUAGUUGGUGAGGUAAAGGCUCACCAAGGCGAUGAUACAUAGCCGACCUGAGAGGGUUGUCCGGCCCAAUGGGAACUAGACCACGCCCCAACCCCCUACGGGGGGAAGCAGAAGGAAAUCUUCGCAAAUGACCAAAGGCCUGACGGAGCAACGCCGCUUAGUUGAGGAAGGUUUCGGAUCGUAAAACUCUGUUGGUAGAGAAGAACGUUGGUGAGAGUGGAAAGCUCAUCAAGUGACGGUAACUACCCAGAAAGGGACGGCUAACUACGUG
rnacentral:rRNA from 1 species